rnacentral:rRNA from 1 species
UACGGAGGUGGCAAGCGUUGCUCGGAAUCACUGGGCGUAAAGGGCGCGUAGGCGGGGAGGUAAGUCGGGUGUGAAAUCCCUCGGCCCAACCGAGGAACUGCGCCCGAGACUGCUUCUCUUGAGUCCGGAGAGGAAGAUGGAAUUCCCGGUGUAGCGGUGAAAUGUGUAGAGAUCGGGAGGAACACCGGUGGCGAAGGCGGGUCUACUGGGCAUCUCCUGACGCUGAGGCGGCGGAAAGCGUGGGGAGCAAACGGG